UUCAUGGUACGUGUUUAUUUUUGUUAUUUAUUUAUUAAAACACUCACUCCCUGAACUUGCUUCCCGGCUCUCAGCGCACUCGUUACAAACACAAGAGAACACCAACGUUUAUCAGUUGUGUAAACAUUUCUGAUUCAUACACAGCUAUAAAUUCAAGAUUGGAACAUCUGAACCUAGAAAAGGAUUGAUUUGUCACGAUACAAACUUAUGAAAGUGAUGUUGUCGUAAUCAUCCCUUGUAGAGAACAAUUGAUUAAAAAAAAGACAUAUAUCUUUUUCAUGUGAACCUGCUCUGUCAAGAGUGUGAAGUAUCCAACUGAAAACUGAAUAGGGGAGAAAGUGCUGAUCUGAGCAGUGCUUAAUGGCUUCUCAUUGACUCCAGGUACAGUACAGCAUCCAGACUGACCCAAUAGACUUCUGAGAUUACACAGCUUGAUGGAUUAUUUUCCUGCUGUAGCAAACUGGCUCAAAUUAAGAUCCUACAUCCAGGAAGUGGAGCCAAUGCAGGAAAAACCGUUCAGCUGUUUUCUCCUAAAAGUUCACCCACUAUCAGCAAGCUGAGAAUCCAAGGUAAAUGUUCCAACGUCCGUCUUUAUGGCAACGCCCGCUCAAACAGUUGAGCCUUGUUAUCUGUCUGAGAGGGCAUAGAGAGGGUUUGGGAGAUGAGUAUGGGGCAAGAUCUCACCCACCACUCUCAGUCUGAGUCAACCAAACCCCCUGAAGGAUUCUCACAUCACCCUGAGAGGAGUUGUCUCGUGGCCCACCUGAAAUAUCAAACAACUUCAGUAACCUCCAAACUACAAACAACUAUUUCAUUGUGACUUGUGAAAACAUGCAGCAGUUCAAAUAGGGGGUGGUGAGAUUCCUCCAAUUACAGGAAUACCCAGCCGAGAAUUCUGUUCUGCAGCUUGAAUAUUCUUUCUAUAUGGUCCUU